GUGAUUUAAUCGAGCGUGUCUUCAUUGACCGCUCACCCUUCUCACCAUCCACAUACACCUGUGCACUGUUUAGCCUGAGCCGGUUUUCCGGUCCAGGUUAUCAUUUCAUACAAACUCUAGUCUUAUGAAUGUAAACGUUUUAAUAACAUAAUA
rnacentral:misc_RNA from 1 species